CGAGUCAAGCUGGAGACUCUGGUCUGGUACGAUAAUGAAUUCAAGACAAAAGUGGAACAGGCAGGAGACCUCGGGUCCUUCGUAAAAUACAUCAUUAAUUCGAUGAAUGCCAGACUGCUAAUGGAAUUUAAAAACAUCACCAUCCAACUUAUCCUCGUUAAAAUUGAACCAGUACCGAUCGGUGCAAGCUUCUGGACGAGCCAAAAUAAUGAACCGCGCCUGUCGCCUCAGCCCGCUUCUACGGGCAUGUACCACUAUUUUCAGAAAAAUUCAACUACCGAUCUGAAUAAUACAGAUGUCGUGUUCUU